AACAUCGCGCACCUGCGGGAACCUGCGGAAGGAUCAUUACAGAGUUGCAAAACUCCCUAAACCAUUGUGAACGUUACCUAAACCGUUGCUUCGGCGGGCGGCCCGGGUCCUUCCCGGCGCCCAUCGGCCCUCGCGGGCGCCCGCCGGAGGUAAACCAAACUAUUGCAUUGUACGGCCUCUCUGAGUCUUCUGUACUGAAUAAGUCAAAACUUUUAGCAAUGGAUCUCAGAUCGGAAGAGC
rnacentral:misc_RNA from 1 species